UACGUAGGGUGCAAGCGUUGUCCGGAAUUAUUGGGCGUAAAGAGCUCGUAGGCGGUUUGUUGCGUUGGCUGUGAAAUCCCGAGGCUCAACCUCGGGUCUGCAGUCGAUACGAGCAAACUAGAGUGUUGCAGGGGAGACUGGAAUUCCUGGUGUAGCGGUGAAAUGCGCAGAUAUCAGGAGGAACACCGGUGGCGAAGGCGGGUCUCUGGGACGCAACUGACGCUGAGGAGCGAAAGCGUGGGGAGCGAACAGG
rnacentral:rRNA from 1 species